ensembl:lncRNA
ACUGGGAAGGAACUGGCACUUGGAGUCCACACAUCUGAAACUUGGUAAGACUAGUCUUUGAAACUUGCCCACUCCAUUUGAGUGGAAGCGUGGCCUGAUCACCCACAGUGUGCCUGUAUUGGCACUUUUGUUCUGGUUUUGACUUGACUUGAAUUGCUUGAUACUUUGGUUUUGGUUUUGACUUGUCUUGAAUUUCUUGGUACUCUGAUUUUGGUUUGGUAUCAACGAUAAAGAUGUGUGUGUGCCCUCUUUACUCGUUCUUUGUUUUGUAAUGAGUGUGUGGUGUGAGCGUGAUAUUUUGUCUUGAGAAAACAUGGGCCAGGUGCAAAGUAAGCCCACCACGUUGGGAAUUAUGUUAAAGAAUUUCAAGAAAGGAUUCAAAGGAGACUAUGGAGUCACUAUGACUCCAGGAAAACCAAGAACUUUGUGUGAAAUAGAUUGGCCAGAAUUAGAGGUAGAUUGGUCAUUAGAAGGAAGCCUGGACAGGUCUCUUGUUUCAAAGGUAUGGCACAAAGUAACUGGCAAGCCAGGACACCUAGAUCAGUUCCCAUAUAUAGAUUCCUGGUUACAGCUAGUUUUAGGUCCCCCACAGUGGUUAAGGGGACAGGCAGCAGCAGUACUAGUAGCAAAGGGACAGUUGGUUAAGGAAGAAUCUCACUCCACCCGCCAAGGGAAGCCAGCCUCUAAAGUUCUGUCAACCUCGAGCCCACAGACUCAUGGCAGGAGAUGGCAUCAACAGUGCCUCCCCCUUACCAAGCAGAGAGGCCCCCUACUCCUGAGCCCACAGCCCCUAGACCACACAGAGUAGACAAGAAAGGAAGUGAAGCUGCAGGAGAAAGUCCUCCCUUGGCAGCCAUUUUAUGGCCCAAGACUGGCCUUGGGGAAAAUUACCCAGACAAUCUCAACUUGGGUAAAUGAGAGGUGCCCAGUCAGCUUAUUCUCCCCAGUUCACCGUUUUUCUCCAGGUGACCGUGUGUAGAUCACGGACUGGAAUGCAGCUCCUUUGUGGCCGCAGUGGAAAGGACCCCAGACCAUUAUCCUGACCACUCCCACAGCUGUAAAGGUGGAAGGAAUACCGGCCUGGGUUCACCACUGCUGCGUAAAGCCCGCAGCCACUGAAACUUGGGAGGCCAAACCGAACCUAGACAAUCCCUGCAAAGUAACCCUGAGGAGGACGACAAGCCCUGCUCCAGUCACACCCAGAAGCUGACUGGUCUAUGCACAGCCGAAGCAUGAGGAAAAUCGUCAUGAGACUUAUUUUCCUUAUAACAUGACUUGUGUGAUAAAAGCUUCCACUGCUUCUUCCCACACAGAGGACUGCUUUCAGUGCAUUCAUCAGGUCACUGAGGUAGGACAAGUUAAGACAAACUUUUUGUUCUAUAGUUACUAUGAAUGCCUAGGAAUUCCAAAAGGAACAAUGUUUGUAUAAUAACACUCAGUACAAAGUCUGUAAUCCAGGAAGUGACCAGCCCGAUGUGUGCUAUGACCCCUCUGAACCUCCCGUUUCCACAGUUUUUGAAAUAAGUUUAAGGACUGAAGACUGGUGGGGACUCAUAAAUAAUACAAGUAAAGUAUUAGUCAGAACAGAAGAAAAAGGGGUGCCCAAACGCAUAAUCUUAAAAUUUGAUGCUUGUGCUGUCAUUAAUAGCAACAAGUUAGGAGCAGGAUGUGGCUCUUUUAAUUGGGAAUAAAGCUACAUGACCGAAAAUAAGUACAUCUGUCAUGAAUUAAGAUUGUGUAGAAAAGAAUGUGGCCAGGAGUUUGAGACUGGCCUGGUCAACAUGAGAAAGCACCAUAUCUACUAAAAAUACCAAAGUGAGCCGAGUGUGGUGGUGCAUGCUUGCAGUCUCAGCUGCUCGGGAGGCUGAGACAUGAGAAUUGCUUGAAAUCAGGAGACGGAGGUUGUAGUGAACUGAGAUGAUGUCACCGCAUUCCAGCCUUGGCAACAGAGCAAGACUGUCUCAAAAAAGAAAAAAACAAAAGUCUAAGAUAGGCCUGCACAGCAUAUUGAAACCCUGUCCUUACAAAAAAAAAAAAAAAAAAAAA